UACGUAGGGUGCAAGCGUUGUUCGGAAUUAUUGGGCGUAAAGCGCGUGUAGGUGGCUAGUUAAGUCGGGUGUGAAAGCCCUCGGCUCAACCGGGGAAGUGCAUUCGAAACUAGCUGGCUAGAAGAUGGUAGAGGAAGGUGGAAUUCCAAGUGUAGAGGUGAAAUUCGUAGAUAUUUGGAGGAAUACCGGUGGCGAAGGCGGCCUUCUGGGCCAUUCUUGACACUGAGACGCGAAAGCGUGGGUAGCAAACAGG
rnacentral:rRNA from 1 species